rnacentral:lncRNA from 1 species
GGGGUUCUCUUCUCUGGAGACGUUAAAAACCCGCUUGGACGCGUUCUUAUGUGACCUAAUCUAGGUGUUCCUGCUCCCGCAGGGAUAUUGGACUAGAUGAUCUUUCGAGGUCCUUUCCAAUCCCUGACAUUCUGUGAUUCUGUGACUUGUGGACAAUAACAUACUAUUGUCAUUAGCCGUACAGAAUGCCCUCUCAGAGGCUGAAAGAAAGGGGCCAUAGCUUCUGAUGAAACUUUAGAGAUGCAGGAGAUUAUUAUUUUUCUCCUUUCCAUGGAGAAUAUCAAGCUGCUAAUUGUCUGCUCUAUUUUCUGCUCUAGUUUUUACAGAAAAUAUUAAGUCACAUACCAGGAAAAUUCAUAUUCUUGACAUUAAAUCUUCUGGUAACACCGAGAGAGCAUCAUCCAUUCAGACCGGUAGCGCAUUUGAAGCAAAGACCCUGUAAACUAGCAGUGGUUUACAUAGGCUUUGCUCUUUUCUACUCCUCUGCAAAGAGUUCCACCUGUUAAAAAAUCAAUAUUGUUGUCAGUAAUCUGGAUUUGAGGAUCUUUAGAAAUCUGAUUAUUAGUACUGAGCAGAUACAUAAAAAAAUCUCUUCUACAUUGAACACUGUAUUGAGGAUUCAACUCACUAACUUUGUUUUCUUUCAGGACAAUUUCACACUGAGUUUCUGAAGAUGGAUUCCCAGUUUUGCAGAUCGCUGGAGAUAUUUCAGACCAGAGUCUACAGUGAGAAGCAGAAGAACGAGACACCACCUACCUCUCGCAAAGCAGGGGAAGAUAGAAGGCCUAAAUGAUAUUUAUCUGCAGGUAAUAUUUCAAUAAUCUGCUUCUUCUCUUUAUCUUUCCUGAGGCUUGGAGCCAUGGCCAAGUGACGAGGGUUUCCUGUGUACAGGCUCUUUGGGCACUGUCUUGGUUUUGCCUUCCUGUUGUCCAUACUCUAACAGCUGCAGGAGAUUUCUCCAGACCUCAAAGAAGUCACUCUAGCUUAACAGCUCAGCUGG